UGACGCAACCCUGGAGAGAUUCUAGAAAUAGGACAUCGAAGGAGUAACCUAGACAUCAUAGGGAAGCUUUCAGAUAAAAGGACAGGGAGUAAAGA
rnacentral:ncRNA from 2 species